rnacentral:rRNA from 1 species
GUGCAAAGGUAGCGGAAUCACUUGGCUUUUAAAUGAGAACGUGUUGGAAUGGCUUAGGGAGGGCUGAUCUGUCACCUUUUUCCGGCCGAUGAAAUUGACCUACCCGCGGCUAAGCGGGGAUGGCCCCCUAAUACCAGGGGACCCUGUGGAGCUUUCGACACCGGGUUUAUUUUGUAAAACCUUCCCCCCUCACACGGGAACGAACAAAAAACACCUGUCCUAAUGUCUUUGGUUGGGGCGACCGCGGGGAAACAAAAAACCCCCACGUGGAACGGAGACACCUUCCCCUGAAAUAAAAGUUACAACUCUAACUAGCAGAACUUCUGACCUUAUGAUCCGGCAUACGCCGAUCAACGAACCGAGUUACCCUAGGGAUAACAGCGCAAUCCUCUUUUAGAGCCCAUAUCGACAAGAGGGUUUACGACCUCGAUGUUGGAUCAGGACAUCCUAAUGGUGCAGCCGCUAUUAAGGGUUCGUUUGUUCAACGAUUAAAGUACUACGUGAUCUGAUUUCAAAACCGGGGAUGA